AGUGAACGCUGGCGGUAGGCCUAACACAUGCAAGUCGAACGGCAGCACAGUAAGAGCUUGCUCUUACGGGUGGCGAGUGGCGGACGGGUGAGGAAUACAUCGGAAUCUACUUUUUCGUGGGGGAUAACGUAGGGAAACUUACGCUAAUACCGCAUACGACCUACGGGUGAAAGCAGGGGAUCUUCGGACCUUGCGCGAUUGAAUGAGCCGAUGUCGGAUUAGCUAGUUGGCGGGGUAAUGGCCCACCAAGGCGACGAUCCGUAGCUGGUCUGGGAGGAUGGUCAGCGACACUGGAACUGAGACACGGUCCAGACUCCUACGGGAGGCAGCAGUGUGGUAUAGUAGACAAUGGGCGCAAGCCUGAUCCAGCCAUACCGCGUGGGUGAAGAAGGCCUUCGGGUUGUAAAGCCCUUUUGUUGGUAAAGAAAAGCAGCAGGUUAAUACCACGCUGUUCUGACGGUACCCAAAGAAUAAGCACCGGCUAACUUCGUG
rnacentral:rRNA from 1 species